rnacentral:rRNA from 1 species
GAUGAAUGCUGGCGGCGUGCCUAACACAUGCAAGUCGAGCGGCAGCGCGAGUAGUUUACUACUUGGCGGCGAGCGGCGGACGGCUGAGUAACGCGUGGGAACAUGCCACAAAGUGAGGGAUAACUGCUCGAAAGGGUAGCUAAUACCGCAUAUGGUCUUCGGAUUAAAGGAUUUAUCCGCUUUGGGAGUGGCCUGCGUACGAUUAGAUAGUUGGUGAGGUAAUGGCUCACCAAGUCGACGAUCGUUAACUGGUCUGAGAGGAUGAUCCGUCAGACUGGAACUGAGACACGGUCCAGACUCCUACGGGAGGCAGCAGUGAGGAAUCUUCCACAAUGGGCGAAAGCCUGAUGGAGCAACGCCGCGUGCAGGAUGAAGGCCUUCGGGUCGUAAACUGCUUUUAUGAGUGAAGAAUAUGACGGUAACUCAUGAAUAAGCACCGGCUAACUACGUGCCAGCAGCCGCGGUAA